GACGAACGCUGGCGGCGUGCUUAACACAUGCAAGUCGAGCGAGGCUCCUCCUUCGGGAGGAUGCCCUAGCGGCGAACGGGUGAGUAACACGUGGGCAACCUGCCCCUAGCACUGGGAUAACCCCGGGAACCGGAGCUAAUACCGGAUAUGACCACGGACGGCAUCAUCUCGUGGUGGAAAGAUUUAUCGGCUAGGGAUGGGCCCGCGGCCUAUCAGCUUGUUGGUGGGGUAAUGGCCACCAAGGCGACGACGGGUAGCCGGCCUGAGAGGGCGACCGGCCACACUGGGACUGAGACACGGCCCAGACUCCUACGGGAGGGCAGCAGUGGGGAAUAUUGCGCAAUGGGCGAAAGCCUGACGCAGCGACGCCGCGUGAGGGAUGA
rnacentral:rRNA from 1 species